rnacentral:rRNA from 1 species
AGCAGCCGCGGUAAUUCCAGCUCCAAUAGCGUAUAUUAAAGUUGCUGCAGUUAAAAAGCUCGUAGUUGAAUUUCGGGACCGAUAUAUCGGUCGUGCCUCGGUACGUACUGGUAUUUUCGGUUUCUACCUUCUGACGAACCUUGAUGUCAUUAAUUUGGUGUCUUGGGAAAUCAGGACUGUUACUUUGAAAAAAUUUAGAGUGUUUAAAGCAGGCUCACGCUUGAAUACAUUAGCAUGGAAUAAUGAAAUAGGACGUUUGAUCCUAUUUUGUUGGUUUCUAGGAUCGACGUAAUGAUUAAUAGGGAUAGUUGGGGGCAUUAGUAUUCAAUUGUCAGAGGUGAAAUUCUUGGAUUUAUUGAAGACUAACUACUGCGAAAGCAUUUGCCAAGGAUGUUUUCAUUAAUCAAGAACGAAAGUUAGGGGAUCGAAGACGAUCAGAUACCGUCGUAGUCUUAACCAUAAACUAUGCCGACUAGGGAUCGGAUGAUGUUAAUUUUUUAAUGACUCAUUCGGCGCCUUA